AGUGUGUGAAGAGUGUGUGAGGAGUGUGAGGAGUGUGUGAAGAGUGUGUGAGGAGUGUGUGAAGAGUGUGUGAGGAGUGUGAGGAGAGUGUGAGGAGUGUGUGAGGAGUGUGAAGUGUAUGAGGACUGUAGCUGAUGUUUUAGCGAGGCUCAGUCACUGGGAUUUAGUUUCGGUCAUGUGCUGGGAUUGAAUUGUUACCGGCGCUGCACGUGAAUAUGAGAUUAUAUAGAAUUACAUGUCGGGUGUGUUUCAGGUGUAAUAAAGCCGUGUCUUUAUGUCCUGUCUGAAUGAUCAUUUUCAUAUUCACAUGAAUAUUAAGGACCAUUUUAUGUUUUAUAGCACGUCUACGCCAUUUUCUCCCCCUAGUUGUUGUAUUGGGAUGGAGUGUAAUUUGUAGGAUUAUUAUUGUAUAUUACUUAUACCCAAGGGCAUGUUGAAUACCACAGACUUCUGCCAGUUGGGUGCAGAUAUAAUUGAGCAAUUCAUCUUUCCAGAGAUAAUGUUCU
ensembl:lncRNA